AAUAACUACACACCACUCAUUUGAGCUAACUUAGACAGAAAAUUACAAUAAACUGAAUUAGAAGACAAAAUAGGCUAAUAUUCAUGCUUCCUACUCUUCAAAUUGAUUCAUUUUUCAAAUUUUCACUUCACAUUUAAUAGGGUUACAAAGUUGUGUACGUGGAUAUGGCCACAUAAAAGGUAAAUUCAAGUCAGGAGUGCAGCAAAUGAUAAUCAGUAGCAGCGAAUACCAAUCAACAGCAGUUUCAAGUUAAUUCCAAACCCAGAAAGUGAUAUCAAGUAACCCAGGAGAUAGUUUCAUACAAGUAACACCAGUAAACGCCCAAACCAAACUUGAAUGAACUAAAUUCAACUCGAAAAUAACCCAAGAACCUUUUAAAACCUCAACUAUUAAAACACAAGGAAAAUUCAAGUCAUUUUUCAACCUUAGACAAGCUGGAGAUUUAAUUUAGAACUUAGGGCUUCAAGAUCACCCUAAAAGUUCAAUGGAAUAGCGAUUUUCUCGAGUUUUGUUGCCUGAAGUUUUUCAGUAUAUUUUC
rnacentral:lncRNA from 1 species